GAAAACACCCAUAUUUUUGCUAACAAACAUUAAUUUAUCAACGGAAAAUAAAACAAUCUUUAUGGCAUUAUUUGAUUAUGACAUCCUAAGGAUGAUAACCUGUACAUACUUGUUUUCGAUACAGUACGCUUUCAUUUUACAACUAUUUUCAAACUUGUUUUGAAGCUUUCUAUAGAACUUAGGCAAGAAAUGCACAAUACCACAUGUUUUCCAUUGAUUAGUUAUAAACACAAUUCUUUUUAUAAAUCCAUUAAUUUCAGGAUAUGUUUAAAAAAUGCAGGGACUGAAAAUCACUUAGAUGUUUUAUUAUGUUAUAUCUGUUCGGUGUGUUUGAGCUGUCGUCGAUAUGAAACAUAUUUACAGGUCCAGAGCCUGUCAGUUGGAUUGGCAAUAUAAAAAACCUGGCUCCCAUCUCUGACUUUGUUGAACCACCCUAUGGAGAGGAUGACAACAAGACUCCGUUCCCAAUCCGACCCGCAGAGAAACACAGCUAUGCACAGAGUUGUGUUGUGUGGAUUAAACCAUCUGGACUCCAGGCUGACAUACAAAAAGUACUCAGACAUGCCAGAAAGUUACCAGAGAAACAUCAGCAAUUCUAUAAGGUGAAUUCUUUGUUUUUUGUUCUAUAAAUAUCAAAAUUUAUUUCACAGCAUAUACAGCUGUACACAUUAAAAUUGAUAGUUUGGAUUAAAAGAUAGUAUAACCUAGCUAAUACAGGUGAUGAAGUAAGUAAGUGCAGGGUUUCUUCACAGUUCUAUUGAAAUUUGUUUUGCUUGAAUUAUAUUCAGAAAGCCUAUCAAUCCAAUUUUUUAUUCAAUGAUUCUGAAAUUGGAGAGUAGUUUUGGCUAAUGAAUGGUAAACUCUUUGCUGGAUUGAAGGAGUUAAACAGACUGCGGAGAGCUGCAUUAUCCUUUGGAUUUCAUGACCUUUUUGAAGCCAUGGCGUCCAUGUUGGAUAGAGAGUGCACUAUGCUGCCUGGAUCAGCACAUCCGGACGCUGCACUCCAGCUGACCCAUGCUGCUAAUGUGCUGAGGAGUGAGAUGGCUACAGACAUUGCACAAGUCAUUCUUCCAUUGAGGACCAAUUUCAAUCAAGAUACAACAUGAUUAGAACCUAGUAUUAUAGAAAGGUGCAGAAUCACAGAAAGAAAAACUGAAUCAAUCAUAUUCAGCCUUGUCUCUAUUUGGACUGAAAAUUUGGUCUAAUUGGUGGGAAGCAAAAUUGCAUUCAACGAUGCAAAUAUGAAGAUAAAAGUUGUUCCUCAAUAAAAGUAUGGUAGAAUGAGAAGAAUUGCUUGCAACCUCAUAAAAUGUUGAUUUUGAAUGACCUAACAUUUUUUUUCUUCAGAUGUUCAUGUGGCAAAAUGAAAUAAAAUGCUACAGUGCCA
rnacentral:misc_RNA from 1 species